rnacentral:rRNA from 1 species
AUUGAACGCUGGCGGCAUGCCUUACACAUGCAAGUCGAACGGUAACAGGUCUUCGGAUGCUGACGAGUGGCGAACGGGUGAGUAAUACAUCGGAACGUGCCCAAUCGUGGGGGAUAACGCAGCGAAAGCUGUGCUAAUACCGCAUAAGAUCUACGGAUGAAAGCGGGGGAUCGCAAGACCUCGCGCGAAUGGAGCGGCCGAUGGCAGAUUAGGUAGUUGGCGGGGUAAAAGCCCACCAAGCCGACGAUCUGUAGCUGGUCUGAGAGGACGACCAGCCACACUGGAACUGAGACACGGCCCAGACUCCUACGGGAGGCAGCAGUGGGGAAUUUUGGACAAUGGGCGAAAGCCUGAUGCAGCGACGCCGCGUGAAGGAUUAAGGUCCUCUGGAUUGUAAACUUCUUUUAUCUGGGACGAAAAAAGGCUAUUCUUAGUCACUUGACGGUACCAGAUGAAUAAGCACCGGCUAACUCCGUGCCAGCCGCCGCCGUAA